UGAGUAACACGUAAGUAAUCUACCUUCGAGUGGGGAAUAACGUCCGGAAACGGACGCUAAUACCGCAUAAUGCAGCGGCAUCGCAAGAUGACAGUUGUUAAAGAAUUUAUUCGCUUGAAGAGGAGCUUGCGGCAGAUUAGCUAGUUGGUAAGGUAACGGCUUACCAAGGCUACGAUCUGUAACCGGUCUUAGAGGACGGUCGGUCACACUGACACUGAAUAACGGGUCAG
rnacentral:rRNA from 1 species